CUUGUGCUGUUAUAUUUAACUUUAUUGCCUAUUUAUGAAUAUACAUACAAUUCAGCUUCUUCUGUUGAUCAUUAAUGUGAUUCCUUUUAUUUUAGAGUUAUGAUAAUCUAGAGAUGAAAUAGAAUGAGAGUUAUUAUUAAGACAUACCUUUAUGUAAAAUGUAAAUAUAAAGAAUCUUAGAAAAAUAAUAAAACAUGCACAUUUCAUUUAAGAUUAAAGAAAUUAAUAUUUCAUUAAUUAUUCCAGAUUUUUAAAAUAUGACAUAUAUAUCUAAUGCUAUUUCUGUAUUCCUUCAGCACACUCCCUCUGCUGAGAACACUAACCUGGCAUUUUAAGGUGAUACUCAGUUUUGGCCUUGGGAAUGAAUUCCCUCUGUUGACUCCAUAAGAUGUGAGGAAUGUGUGAAAAGACUUGAGUUCUGGUGUGUUCUGAAGCGUGAAGACCUAACAGGUCACAAUGAUGCAACAGGUGGGUUCCUGUGGUCUUGUGCAGCUCCACCCCUGUGGCUUUGCCUGCUUUCAUGGGCAGUAUUGAGUGUCUGUGGCUUUUCCAGGUACGUAGUACAAGCUCUUAGUGGAUCUACCAUCUUGAGGUCUGGAGGGUGGUGGCCCCCUUCUCAGAGCUCCAGUUGGUGGUGCCCCAGUAGGGACUCUGUGUGGGAGCUCUGAACUCACAUUUCCCUUCUGCACUGCCCUAGCAAAGGUCCUUUAUGAGGACUCUGCCCCUGUUGCAAACUUCUGCCUGGGCAUUCAGGCAUUUCCAUACAUCUUCUGAAAUCUAGUCAGAGGUUCUCAAAACUCAAUUCUUUACUUCUGUGUACCUUUAGGCUCAACACCAUUUGGAAGUUGCCAAAGCUUGGGACUUGCAACAUCUGAAGCCAUGACCUGAGCUCUAUGUUAGCC
rnacentral:lncRNA from 1 species